rnacentral:lncRNA from 1 species
UCAACCUAAAUGGAAAUGAAUUCCACGAAGAGCUAUUACCCAUAGAGUUUAACGGUUUCGACAUCGUUUUGGGUAUGGACCGGCUUAGCACCAACGAUGUCGAGAUAUUAUGGCGAAAGAAGAUAGUUAGGGUAAAUCCCCCUGGAAAGGAGUCAUUUAUGGUGUACGGGGACAAACGUAGAGUGAAUUCUGGAAUCAUCUCCCUGAUGAAAGCCAGAAAAUGUUUAUCCAAAGGAUGUGCAUCAUAUUUGGCAUUUGUGAUUGAUGCUAAGAAGGAAAAAAAGGAGGUGCAAAGUAUACCGGUCAUAUGUGAUUAUCCGGAAGUCUUUCCCGAAGAUCUUCCCGGAUUACCACCUGAUAGGCAAAUGGAGUUUCGUAUAGACUUGUUACCAGGAACAACAUCGAUAGCAAAAGAACCUUACCGAUUAGCACCGACGGAGAUGAAGGAGCUUAUGACGCAACUUCAGGAGCUGUUGGACAACAGUUUCAUUCGACCUAGUUCAUCACCCUGGGGAGCUCCGAUGUUAUUCGUGAAGAAUAAGGAUGGAAGCAUGAGAAUGUGUAUAGACUACUGAGAGCUAAAUAAGGCAACGGUGAAGAAAAAGUAUCCAUUGCCGAGGAUUGACGACCUAUUCGAUCAGUUGCAAGGCUCGAGCUACUUUUCAAAGAUCAAUCUUAGGCCAGGAUAUCAUCAGCUAAAGGUGAGAGAGCAGGAUAUUGAGAAGACUGCAUUCAGAACUUGAUAUGGACACUACGAGUUCUUGGUUAUGUCAUUUGGACUAACCAAUGCUCCUGCAGCAUUCAUGGAUUUGAUGAACAGGGUUUGUAAACCAUUCAUCGAUAAAUCGGUGAUAGUGUUCAUCGACGACAUUCUGAUCUACUCGAAAAGCCAAGAGGAGCAUGGCAAGCAUCUAUGGGAAGUGUUGGAAGUGGUAAAGAAGGAGAAGCUUUACGCUAUGUAAGGUCCUGAAAACGGAUCUUACCAGUGAUCAAUAGCAAACACAAUCACAUAAACAAGAAUAAAGGUAGAGAAGCAAAUCAAACAAGCUUGCACAUGUUCUAUUGAAUUAAACGUCUGGUACAACUUGAUAUGGGGCUGUGAACAAUAAGGCAUCAACAACAAAACACGACUGACUAACCAUCUAUUUAUAGGGGACUACGACCGAGAAGAGUUUACGGUCGUAAACUCAUUACAAACCGUAAACGGCUAUUACACCUACUAACAUACUCUAUCUAAACCAAACUACUAUUACAUUGCAAAGCCUAGACCAAACCACUAACUUGGGCCCUUCAAUCUCCCCCUUGGUUUGGUGCUAGCUUGAAGUUAACCUUUAUUGACUACCAUAACGUCUGCUUGCCCCAUUGCCCCAUUCCAGAUAUGCUUGUUAAGAAUCUCAGCAACCAUAGUCGUAUACACCUUCGCAACAUCCUCAAAAGUAUCCUCCGCAACCAAAAUCUGAUAGUUGCUUAGAUGAUGGAUGUCCCACUUUCGAAAUUGCAACAAAUCCCUUCGGUUAUAGAGUUGGAUGAAACCAUUUUUGAGCUUGAUUACAAAAGCGGAAGUAAUCUCAUCAAAAACCCAACAUUCCAUAGAGCUGAGAGAUCCAUCUUGAUAAUUCUGAAGCACAGGGAAUUGUUUGACCUACUUGGUUGCGGGCUACAUCACAAACUUGCAGAGGCUUGUUAGUUUUAGGAUCAAUGAUAUCAGGAUGCUCUACUAUAACGAACUCAACAGUUUUCAUGGAAGGAAACCCUUUCUUAACUUGAUCUUUAAGGAAGUGCUUGAACUGGGUCGCCUGAGGAUUGUUUGUGAGAUUUGAGAAAGGAGCUCGUGGCAAUUCUGCCAGAUCGACCCUAGUCCAUGAACUGAAAUCAUGAAAAUCUAUGUAAAGUUUAGAGUUGCCACUUUUCCUUAGCACAAUCCACAUCUUGAGAGGAUCAUGAAAUCCCCAAGAAACAAUUCCCAAUCUAUCACCGAAAGAAUCUCUGAAUCGAACAACUUCAAGAUCAGUCACUGUAAUUGUAGGUUCAUCCUAAGAAGCAUUCUGGUUAGGGUUUCUUUUAAACAAUAUUUGCCCUUUCUUAGCUGCUUCCUCCUAUGCAUCGUGAAUUAUUGCUGAAACAUGGGGGGGGCUUGAGGAGGCUCAUCUUCAACACGAUUAACAAAUCCUGAUGUCUGACCAGUUGGAAAAGUAACUGGAAAGGCUUGAACGUGUAGAUUGAUCUUGUAUUCAUCAUCAGACGUCUGGUAUUUAACACCGAGGUCUUCCUCAAGCUUCUUCUUUAGCUCAAAAUAGCUUGAAGUCAAGAGAUUGAAGUGAUCUUGAAGAUCAGAAAUCUGUUUUGACUUUAGAGCUUUGUCCUUAGUAAGAUCAGCUACUUGCAUACCAAGCUUUGAAUUGUCAAAUUGAAGCUUAGACAAUUGAACAUUAAGCUUUGAAUUUUCAGCUUGAAGAUCCGACACAUGGAUGUCAAGCUCAGUGUUUUUCUGACUCAGCACUGAUAUCUCCUUCUGUAGCCCAUAGAUAGUUAGGUUGUCUCCUCCAGAACCGCCAUCCCCUAUAGAAACACCUUUACCGCGAGGGGAAGGCAUCAAAAAUGGCUCCUCAGCCAAAUGCAUGGCUAAUCUUACAGAAGCGUCAUCGUGAUCAGAUCGAGGAGGAGUAACCCCUGGUGGAAUAGAGGAACCAUCAACAUCAAAAGCAUUGUCUGGAUCCACAGUAAAAAGUUUGGUUGUGGUAAGACUGGGAGUAGUAGUAGGUGGUAUUGGGAGGCCGCUAACGAGACUUGCAAUUAGCUCAAUCUGCCUCGGAUCCCUUCUUCGUUUUUUCAACGGGGGUUGACCAGUCUGUGUUGUUGUAGAAUCACUCACAAAUAGCUCUGAAGUAGGAGAAACAGUAACAGGAGGAGGAAAUCCCAUAACUGUCUCCAUCGGAGUGGAAAUGUUUGCCAUUUGGUUUAAAGUAGGGGUUGCAGUUUCAAAAACUUCAUUAGACUCCCUUGUCUCUGGGUUGGAAGAACAACUUCAUCGACAUUGUUAAAGAUCAUGUCAAGAUUCUCAUUUGUCACCAAAUUAGCACUACUGGCUAGAGAAGCUGCAAUAUCAUCAUGAUCAAAAUCAGUGAGAUCAAGAUCACUAAAAGAAUCAUUUUUAUCUCCCUCAACAUUCGCUUCAAACUCCACAUUCAUUCCUUCAACAUCACCUUGAGCACGAUUAGAUAUUAAGCCAUGUUCUUCUGCCACAUGAGCAUCAGGAGUAGGAGUGUCUUCUUUUUCAGUACUUUCAUCAUCAUAUACAUCAAUAACAACGUUGUUUGGAGAUGACUUCUCAGAAGAUACAGGCUCAGAAGAAGCCUGGUCAAAUGAACCAUAAGAUUCUGCGGGUUCAUUCAGUUCAGUGAACUUUCCAAACUUUUCAAGCGGGUAUUUUCAUUGAAAAAUAACCUUUCCUUUUCGAUUCUGUUUGAUGAGUCCUACUAUGUGGGGACCCAAAGAUUUCAUAUCCAAAGUUUCACCUUCUUUUCUCACAUCCGGAAACUGAGUAUUGAUAAGCAACCGAAUAAAUCUGGGAUACAAUAAGAAAGUAUCCCGAGUUGAAGCUCGAAUGUUCACAACAAACUCAUCCAAGAUGAAUCUCGAAAAGUUAAACUUCACUCCUGCGGCGAGAGAAACAAUUGCACCGGUAUUCCUUUGAGAAAUUUCAUCUGCUCCCGAUCUUCUCCCUGAAAUGCAGCUAACGAACACGUGUGCUAAAAAUCUCCAAUACGGAUGUAAGAGCUUCUUUAAAGUUGGAGGUGAAGUGCCUUCAUAACUCAUUCUCCUUAGAAUCCUCUUAGCGUCUUCAAUCCCAAUCUCCGUAGGGAAAUUAGGUUGAUCGUCAAUCAGCAAUGUAUCUCUGAUAAAGCUUUCAUUAAUCACAAUUUCGCGUCCUUGAACUAUAGCUUUAACAGUAAAAUGACCGGCAUCAUUCAUAUCCAUGUUGGCAGUCGCCCAGAAUUCUCUAAUUAAAUUUUGGUAAACAACAGGAUUUAUUGUAAUAGCAGAUGCCAAACAGCACUGGCGAAGUCUGUGAAUCAUCGAUCGAAGAUCCGAGUGAACAGCCAGAGGAUCCACCAAGACAAUAGCAAGAUUGUGCAUAUCCACAAAUUUGAGGUUCGCCGUUACCCUGCACUUAACCAUACCAAGUAAGAAAGGAAAAAUCAAACGAACAACAAGAGUUUUAAUUUAAUUUUAAUCCUAAAAAUAACAAUAACCUUUUUUAAAAUUAGGUCAAAAUUUAAAAAAACUUUCAUUUAAAUGAAAUCUAAAUCUGCGGUCAACACUAAUUUGCGGUCAACACCACUUUGCGGUCCAAGAACAAGGUUUGCGGUCGACGAACAAGGUUUACGGUCGACGAACAAAGUUUACGGUCGACGAACAAAUCUUAUGACCAACACAUAAAAAUUGUGGUUAAUAAGGAUUUACGGUCGCAAAUCAUGGCCAGUAAACUACCGAUCAUUCGGAGUUUGCGGUCGCAAGCAUCGUGCGCCCGUAAGCUUGGGCCGCAAGCUCCGUCGCACCCUUUUUCUCGAUUUCUGCCUCGAAAACUCGGUUAAUCACACAACAAGAUAUAUAUUCCUGAUCCAGAACACAUUACCUUCGAGACUAUCAGAUUAUAUUUGCAAAAUAUGACAGAAAAAAUUUCGACAUGAGAGAGAGUGGGAGGGGUGUUUGCGGCCGGAAUCUUGAGUAUGAAGAAGAUUUCGGCGGUAAACUCCCUUUUUAUUCUCUUUUAACAUUUACCUGAUAACCACACAGUAUAAAGCAGGGUCCAACACAGUUAAAAAUUUAAAAAUAAUUCCUUUUGAGGAUUUUUACUAAAAAUAAAUUAAAAAUAAUAAAAAAAAAUUAACUAUGCAGAAUAGAAUAAAAUAAAAAUAAAAAUAAAAAACUUAAAAAAUUUUAACAGUUAAAAAAUAAAAAUAAAAUUAAAAAAAAUAAAAAAUAAAUCUAAAAUAAUUUAACUUCAACUAAAAUCUAAUCUUAAAAUUUAGCUACCGUGAAUGAAUUUGUGACGCUGGGAUCAAAGUUGUUGGACAGCCUUACUCCACUUGUCGGUACCAUUAUGUUCACAUCUUCGUCUAAUCGAUCGCCAGUAUUGUGGUCCACUUAAAAACGAAAAAUUUAUGACAAUUUUUGGACAAUUUACCAAUGAGAUGAUACAUAUACAUAUAAAUGAUUGUAAUUCCUCAUUAUCAUGAUUGACCCUAAUUCUUAAAUAAAAUUGUCUUAUGACCAUUUAACUGACUACGGCCAAUGAUAUUGUUGUCCACCUAAAUUGAGCAGCGAGAUCUACAGACAACCUGUAUGUGUUCAAUUUUAGUUGUAAUAGAACGUGUUUCCCGCUUCCUGGCAUGCCCCAGCCAUCAAGGGCUUCCAGAAUACUCCUUACACAGGGUGAGCAGACAAUUAUUAAGAGAGAAGAUAGAUUUAGAAUGCAUAUGCUGUACAUCCACGUCAGAUCUCUUCCAAUCACGCAAAGGAUGAAACAUAUGACUAACUGAAGUUUCAGAGGGAUUGAGAAGAGAAUGGUGCAUAUACUGUGUACCAGGUCGGAUUUUGAGUCACGCAAAGGAGACAGUAUAUGACUAACAGAUAGAAAGAAUUGCAUAGAUAGAAGAUGUAGAGAGAUAGAGUUACAUAUGUUACAGUCCAAGUCGGAUCUCUCGAUCACGCAGAGGAGGUAACAUAUGACUAACAAAUAGAAAGAAAGAAAAUAACCUUCCACAGACCUAAUUUAUCGGAAUUCCCCAGUCACCCCAUCCAACCGGAAUUAAGGACAGAAUCCGCACAUCGAGGAAAAGUGAAUCCACAGUUCUAGAUACGGGUUCAUUAGUGUGACCGGUAGAUUCUCAUGUAUAUCUCCCUGCUCAACCUAUCCGAGCGUCAUGAUGUCAGGCUAAACGGUUCUAACUAGGUCAAGAUUUGUCAAGUCCUUAAAUUCAUUAGGUUCAACAUUCCUUAGUCAAGUCCAUUUAAAAUCUUGUCUACCAGCGCAUUGAGCACAGAGCGUUGACAAUUCAACUUAGGUACGUUACGCAUAUUCAGAUUGCCCGUUAUCACUUGCUAAUUUCAUUUCCUAUCACAACACCUACAAGCAAAACUAUCAGCAAUAUUUUUUUUUUAAUUUUCUGGUUUUUUUAUUGUUUUUGGAUUUUUGAAAAUUUUUAUUAAUAUUUAUUUUAUUUUAUUUUUUUGAUUAUUUCUCCCCCUAAAUUUGUGCAUGGGUUAGAAUGAAAAUAAAAGAAAAUAGAAUACGAAAAUUUAACUAAGGCUACCUAAAAAAAACAAAGUUUUAAAAGAAAUAAAAAAAUGAAAGCAGAAAAAAACUUAAUCCUCAAAACGAAUCAUUUUCAGAAAUCCCACAAGCACAUCAAAACGAGUUUUGUUAAAAGGCUUAGUGAAUAGAUCCGCCACAUUAUUAGCACUGUGGACCUGUUCCACCCGGAUUAGCGAACGUUCAUAACAGUCUCUGAUGAAAUGAAUUUUAAUGUCGAUGUGCUUGAUUUUAGAAUGUUGGACUAGAUUUUUGGCAAUUUGAAUUGCGGCUUCAUUAUCACAGUAGAUAAGAGUUUCUAAAUAAUUCAAACCGUAGUCCAACAACUGAUGUUGGAUCCAGAUAACUUGAGAACAGCAGGCCGAUGCAGCAACGUAUUUCGCCUCCGCUGUGGAAGUUGAGACAGUGUGUUGCUUCUUACAUUGCCAUGAAACUAGCCUGCCACCUAGGUAUUGACACCCUCCUAAGGUUGAUUUCCUGUCAAGCUCACAGCCUCCGUAAUUACUCUCAGCAAAAGCAUAUAGAUUAAAUUCAAAAUUUUUCGGAUACCAAAGACCCAAUUUUGGGCUGCCUUUGAUAUACCGAAAAAUUCUUUUGACAACAAUAAGAUGUGAAAGUUUAGGAUUAUCCAGAUAGCGUGCGCAUUGAAAAACUGCAAACAUUAUGUCAGGUCUGCUUGCAGUAAGAUACAUCAGUGAUCCGAUCAUUGAUCGAUAGUGAGUCUGAUCUAUGGAUUUACCGUCAGGAUCUGGAGUCAGAAGAGGUUUUUCAGCCAUUGGUGUUGAAGCAGAUUUAGCGUCGUGAAACCCGAACUUCUCAAGAAUAUCCUCCACAUAAUUGGCUUGAUGUAGCAGGAUUCCGGUUGAAUUCUGUUUAACCUGAAGCCCCAAAAACAUGGUCAUUUCUCCCAACGAACUCAUACCGCUUCUUCAUUACACCUUCGAAUUCUUUGCAGAGCUGCGGACUAGUCGACCCAAAGAUAAUGUCGUCAACAUAGAUUUGCACAAGUAUCUGAUCAUUGUCGACAUGCUUGAUAGAUAGGGUCUGAUCGAUAGUGCCACGAGAGUAACCAUGCUCGAGCAAGUGUUUUGUUAGAGUUGCAUAUCACGCUCUAGGAGCUUGGUGUAACCCAUACAAUGCCUUGUCCAACUUGUAGACAUGAUUAGGAAAUUUUGAGUCAAUGAACCCAGGUGGUUGAUCAACGUAGAUUUCUUCCUUCACCUUGCAAUACAAGAAAGCAGUCUUGACGUCCAUUUGAUAAACGGUAAAGUUCAUGUAAGAAUCAUAUGCUUGGAAGAUACGAAUAGCCUCCAGGCGAGCUACUGGAGCAUAAACUUCAGUGUAAUCAAGACCCUCGACUUGUCGAAACCUGCGAACCACCAAUCGAGCUUUAUUUCGCACAAUAACCCCUGAAUCGUCCUGCUUAUUGCGAUAAACCCAUCCUGUGUCAAGAGACUUCUUGCCCUUUUGUAACUCAACUAACUUCCAAACACCGAGUUUUUCAAAUUGGUGCAGUUCUUCAUGCAUUGCAUCUACCCAGCUAGGUUCAUUUAUAGCCAUUUCAACAUUCUUGGGCUUUAUUUGAGAAAUAAAGCAAGAGUAAAGACAAGCAUUAACGUCUCCACUCUAACUUCUGGUUUUAACACCGUCACCUAGCUGACCAAUGACGUUGUCGAUCGGAUGAUCGCGUUGAAUCCUUGAAGGUAUCUCUUGGCUGAUGUCAUUGAGAGAGAUAGGAAGAGUGUGAAUGUUGAUACCUCCUUCAUUUGCUGAUUGAGCCGCUCCAGACGGCUCUGCUACAAACUCAUUUGAGAUAAGUUCAAGAAAGAGUAGUUCCAUAAAAGUUGAAGAGGCAUCGGAAGCAUCAUCAAGAGAGAACUCUUUCUCUAUAGAAAUAAGUGGUGAAGUUUCAGAAUCUGGAGUAUCAGAUUGGGCUGAAGAUUUAGGACUAUCAUGUUGCAUAGACGACUCCCCCUCGGGUAUCACAGAUGACUCCCCCUCAGGUGUAGCAGAGGACUCCCCCUCAGAUGUAGCAGAGGACUCCCCCUCAGGUGUAGCAGAGGACUCUCCCUCAGGCAUAACCUUGGACUUCCCUUUGGAUGAUGAAGAGGAUGUAUAUAGAGGUUUGUACACAACUUCUUCGUCUUCAUCUUCAGGAAUACUCUUCCAACCAGAAACAGGUCUAAAUAAGCCACUUGAAGACACAUUUAUGGAUUUGAACAACGAUGUGUAAUCAAACAACCAAUCCGGACCCACUCUAGCGUCCGUCUCAUUUUCUUCCAACCAACGCACGUCAUAAGAUUCCACAAUCUGUUUUGUCUUCUUAUUGUAGACUCUAUAGGCAGUGCGAGCAGCAUACCCUACAAAGUAACAGUCAUCGGCCUUGGCAUUAAACUUCGGGUUGGCAUCUAAGUGAAGAAGGAUACAAAGGCAGCAAAAUACACGAAAAUGACUGACCGAUGGCUUGUGACCAUAGAAUUUCAUACGGGGUCUUCAUCUGAGCUUUGUUGAUCAACACUCGAUUCUGAACGUAACAGGCAGUGUUUAUCGCCUCUGCCCAAAAGAAAACUGGUAGUUUUGAAUCACACAACAUCGUUCUUGCAACGUCUUUUAAUGUUCUGUUCCUUCUUUCAGCAACACCAUUUUGUUGGGGUGUGUGAGCAGAACUGAAUUGACACAGGAUACCCUUUUCUGCGCAAAAGUGAUCUAAUACAUAAUUCAUAAACUCUGUUCCGUUGUCGGUACGGAGCGCCUUCACCCGAUUGUUAGUUUGGUUCUUAACUAAUACAAUGAACUUCUUGAUCAAAUCAGCAACUCCAGCUUUGUUGGAUAGAAAGAAAACCCACGUAAACCGAGAGAAAUAAUCAAUCACAACCAAACAAUAAGAACUUCUGUUGAUGCUGAGAACGUUUACUAGACCAAACAAAUCCAUAUGUAGCAAUUGAAGCACCUGGCUAAUUGAGUUGACCUGUUUUGGCAGGUGUGGUUUUCUAUGAUGCUUUCUUGUGCACAUGACACAAAUUUUUCAAACGUGAUGAAAUCUUUGACAAGAAAUCCAUGGACCAUCUCAUUUUUCGCAAGACGAUUCAGAUUCUUGGCAUUAGCAUGACCUAGUCUUCUGUGCCACAACAUUGCAGUUUGUUCGGAGAUCUUGGAGAAAAGGCACGUAACCUGUUCUGGAAAAUUGCUAUUCAUAUCAAUGAUAUAGGCAUUUCCAUCCCUUUUAGAUUUUACAAGAAUCCACUCUUUUGGGAUGACAAAGCCUGGCUUGAGAAUCAUGCAUUCCUUAUCAGUGAAAUGAGUAGAAUAGCCCUUGUCACAAAUCUGAGAAACACUUAACAAACUAUGCUUCAGCUCGGGAGCAAAAUUAACGUUCUCGAAACUUAAAACCCCAUUUGAGACAGUUCCUCUUUGAGUGAUUUUGCCACCUUCUCCACCCGCAAAGGAGUUGUAUCCCCCAUUAAAUGAUUCAAUGUUGUGCAGUUAGGCGAUAUCUCCUAUCAUAUGCCGGGAACAGCCGCUGUCGACAAACCAGGGUUUGACGACAUUCCCUCGCAACUGUCCCUGCAAAAUGUGCGGGUUUAAUUAGAUUUGGGAACCCAGGUCAUUACCUUCCUGGGUGGUCCCGAUGCCUUUUCAGAUUGAUAAUUUUCGGAUUUCUCAAAGGACACAAAUGAUGAAUUGGAAGCCAGUUUGGGCAACCAUUGAUAAUUGGGUUUUCUAAUAGUCCUGAUUGACUUUGAAAUUGAGUGUUUAUCAGUUUGCUUGAAGCCUGUGGGCUUUCUACCAGAGUUGGUUGAAGACCCAUUGCUGCUUCUUGACGAAUUCGACCUUGGCUUGGUCGUACUCGGUUUUGGCAAACUGCCUGGGACUUUGCGAUGAGAAACCCUUUUAUGUUUUUGAAAAACAACCCGUUUUCUACUCCGAUCAGUUUUCCAAUCAUCAUUUCGGGAAUGAAUUCUAGAGGACUUUCUAUUUAAAGACCUUCCUCUGAAUUCGUUCUCUCCUCUUGGAAGAUCGAAAUGUACAAACAUACGAUUUUGACAAUUUCUAGCUAUAUGACCGCCAGUACCACAAUUAAAACAAAUAUGUUUGUUAUUGUUAUAACUUGUACUACAUUGACCAGAUUUGCUUUCCAUACUAACACCCUUGCUUCUCUCACAAGAACAAGAAUCAUUAUUAGGUUGUGAGGCAAGUGAGGGUAUAUUAGAUGGAGAAGAUUGUGAGACUAGUGGUGUUUUAACAUUUUCAUUACAAACACCAAAAUUGCCAAUCACAUUAUUUAAGACAGUAUCAGACACUUGAAAACCAUUCAAAACAGUAUCAGAAGAAACAAAAACAUCACAAAAACCAUUGUCACUUAAAACAUUAGAGAAAACAUUGUCUUUAUUAAAAACUAAAACUUUAGGUUGGGACUCAGUUUUAUUUUCAAAAACAGAUCCUUCAACUUCGUGCUUUAACUGAUUCAAGGAUUGAUCUGUAGGAGAAGUAGAAAUGUUAGUAUUUUCAACAUUAAUAAAUCCUCCCAAAAAAAAACCAGAUGGCUUGCCAUAAACCAUGAAUGAUUCAUUGGCAAUCUCUUCUUUGCUCAAAGGUUUAGGUUGAUAUGAAUGAUUGAAAGGGGGAGGCACAUGGUUGUAUCCUAGACCGUUUGAUUGAUUUUGUUUAAAUUGCAUGCAGUGGUCUAUCACAUUAACAGCUACCUCACUCGAUACAUCAUAUUUUCUGAAAUCAAAAUCAGCAGUUUCAAAUUUUCCUUUUAAUGAUUCAAUUUCAGUCACUAGUUCAGAGUUGUGUUUCUUUAAAUAAUCGUAAUUUUCGCAUUUAUUACUAUAGUCCUCCUGAAGUCUCCUAAAUUCCUUUAUUUUAGACUGGUUUGACGUCAACAGUUCUUCCUUGUUCCGACAAAGAGUGUGUUUCCUUAUUCUUUUUGAUCCUUGCCGGAUGUGCUUGACCUAGUAUAUCUAUUAUCAGGGAUAGUGAACAUGAUAGAGAGUGAGUGAGCGGCGAAUUCAAAACUUGUGGGGCCCUAUCUAUUCCAUCUCUCGAGCCCCGAAGAAAUUGCCCUAUGAAGACUCGCUUUCGCUACGGCUCCGGUGGGUUCCCUUAACUAAGCCACUGCCUAUGAGUCGCCGGCUCAUUCUUCAACAGGCACGCGGUCAGAGCCCCGGGCUCAAUACUUGUACUUGCUCUGCUAUUCUGCCCCAUCCUGGCUGAGGAAGAGUUACGGGCGCGUAAAAAAAAAAUACGCUGAUGGGGGGCGGGCAUACUAUGUGUAAUGCUUCACUCAUUUACGAUAAAUAAUAAAUAAAAAGGCCAUUCCAUUUCGACAAAAGACCCACACCCAAGUUCCAUAGCUUUUGGUCCACUAUCCCGAACCUUGCAAAAAUCCUAUCUUCUACUUCUCUAUCUAAUGCCUCAAUUUUGUCAUGUAGAGAUUUAACAUAAUUAAGACAGGCUUGAGAGCAUGAGGGUAAACUUACCUCUGUUUUAUUAGGUCCAUGAGAAGAAGAUACCAUCAAUCCAUACUGCAGCUUCAUCACCUCAUCUUUAGCUGCCAUAAUUUCUGCCAGAGCAUCAUCGUUGACCUGUGCCAGGUGGGCAUUUUCUGGUCUAGAUAAGUUCAGGGCCUGCAUCUGAUCCUCCCAGUCGAACGACUGUGCAACCAUAUCCUUCUCAUUGUUUUUCUGAGCACCACUUCGAUUGUUCCCAACUGCAACUAUUGUCCUAUCGUUAUUUAAUCUUCUGUCUAGAUGUGGGCAAUCACGAGCAAAAUGCCCUGGCUCGUGGCAGUUGAAACAUCGCAGCUUUCCCUUGUUGAACCCAACUUUCUUGUCAGCACUCAUCCCCCAGUUGUUCUUUCCAGUCUUUUUGGCAAACUGUUUCGCCUUAAAAACUACCAUGGCGAUUUGCCAUGUAAUAUCCAUCUCUUCAACGUCUUCAGGGUGGAUCUGAUCAAGAUCAACAAAUGACAGUUGAGGUGGAAGCUCCUUGGCCAGGAGUGUAUUGUAGCAAUUGACAAGCCCUGAGGCAAGUGCGAGAUUUUCAUCACCCUCCUUUCCUCUUGAAGAAGAAGCCAUAUUUGAGGAUGAAAUAGCUUGACUAGGCACGAACGAUUGGUUUUGUGAGUAAGGCAUGGCUGAUGCAGAGGAAGCUGAUGGAUUGGGAAAAUUCUGAAUUUGAACCAUUGGAGUAGAGAAAGAUUGACCUGCAGAAGAAAGAGAAAAAGAUGAAAGAGCACCAUUAGUAGAAAUUCCAAGGUUUGCAGCUGAGUAUGAGUUCGCAUGGUUCAUUUCUCGCUGCUUGUCAUCAAUAUCACAGGCCUUGAUGACAGCCAUAACUUCAGCAAGAGAGAGAUGACUAAGAUCCUUAGUCUUCUUGAUGACAUCUACAUUCAUGUCCCAAGACUUUAGGAGAGCAUUCAGUAGCUUCUUUUUUUUAUCUCAGACUUUGUGUAGAAGAUUCCAGCUACAGUCAUUUCAGUGUUAAGAGAUGUGAACCGUUGUAGCUGUGCCUCAAGAGUUUCUCCACGAACAUAAUUGAACAUAUUAAAACGUUGUCGCAGCAUGUCUUGGCGACUCUCUCUCAUAUCUUCAUUCCCUUCAUAGACCUCAAUGAGGGCUUCCCACAAAGCCUUAGCAGAAGUGUACUCCCUGAAACCUUGAGCAAUGUCUAGAGAUAGUGCCAUGGUCAAGAUGGCCAAAGCCUUUUCUUGCUCUUCAACCUUCUUGAAGUCUUCAUCAGUGUAGUUUUCCAUCUUUUUGUCAACCACCUGGCCUGCAACAGUAGUGGUUAUUCUGACAGGAUUUCUUACUAUGCUUCUCCAGAUUUUAAAAUCCUUCAUUUUUAUGUACUGCUCGAUUCUGUACUUCCAUUCUGGGAAGCAUUCAGCUGAUAGGAGUCUAGAAAUUCGGGUGGUUGUGCCUAUGACUGAGUCCAGCUCUUGGUGAUUUUUUUGACUUUGAGAAUCCAUUUUUUUUAUUGCUUACUUAAUGUGAAAUAGAAAGCAAAUUAAUUAAAAUUUAAAUUGAGUUUCACAGUUAAAAUCCGAUUUACUGCCCAAAGUCAGUUUGCGGCCGUAAACUCUGAGUUUACAGUCGAAAAGAGAAUACGGUCACAUGAUUUCUUGUUUACGACUUAAGAACGCAGUUCACUGUUUAAGGUCGUUGAAGAGUUUGCGGCCGUAAAUAGAGAUUACGGCCGUAAGCUACAAUUUUUGCAAUUUUUCGAUGAAACCAAAAACUUUCUUGCAGAAAAACAUGAACUUUAGUCUCAAACCAAUAAAAACUCGCUCCAAAAUCGAUUGUAGAGUGCCUUUGACGCUGGUCCUACUCUGAUACUAAUUGUAAGGUCCUGAAAACGGAUCUUACCAGUGAUCGAUAGCAAACCCAAUCACAGAAACAAGAAUAAAGGUAGAGAAGCAAAUCAAACAAGCUUGCACACGUUCUAUUGAAUUAAACGUUUGGUCCAACUUGAUAUGGGGCCGUGAACAAUAAAGCAUCAACAACAAAACACGACUGACUAACCAUCUAUUUAUAGGGGACUACGACCGAGAAGAGUUUACAACCGUAAGGUGUUUACGGCCGUAAACUCAUUACAAACCGUAAACGGCUAUUACACCUACUAAUAUACUCUAUCUAAACCAAACCACUAUUACAUUGCAAAUCCUAGACCAAACCACUAACUUGGGCCCUUCACGCUAAGUUCUCCAAGUGUGAUUUUUGGAUCCGAGAAGUCCAAUUCUUGGGUCAUGUGGUUAACCAAGAAGGGAUAAUGGUUGACCUUGCAAAAAUCAAUGUUGUAAUAAAGUGGGAACGUCCAAAGAGUCCCACGGAGAUCCGAAGCUUUCUAGGAUUAGCCGGAUAUUACCGACGAUUUAUCCAAGGAUUUUCUUCGAUAGCUACUCCAUUGACAACUUUGACUCAUAAAGGAGCUACAUAUACGUGGAGUGAGAAACACGAUGAGGCAUUCGAGAAGCUAAAGAAGAAGUUAUGUGACCGAUACUUUCUCUACUUGAUGGAGUUGAAAACUUUGCGGUUUACAGUGACGCAUCUGGAGUCGGGUUGGGUUGUGUUCUGACCCAAAGAGAAAGGUGAUAGCAUACAUAUCUCGAAAAUUGAAAGAGCACGAAAAGAACUACCCCACUCACGAUUUGGAGUUGGCGGCGGUAGUAUUUGCUCUAAAGAUAUGGAGGCAUUAUCUCUACGGCACGAAGUGCAGGUUGUUCACUGAUUAUAAGAGUCUCCAGUAUCUCUUUAAUCAAAAGGAGUUGAACAUGAGGCAACGACGUUGGCUAGAACUACUCAAGGACUACGACUGUGAGAUACUUUACCACCCAGGUAAAGCCAAUGUUGUCGCAGAUGCUCUCAGUCGAAAAGUCAGUCUUGAAAGGAAAAGUCCAAGAGCGUUAAGAAUUAAAGUCGUCUCGACGAUUGUGGAAAGUAUCAAGAAAGCUCAAGAAGAAGCUUUAGAGAAAAAUGAUCGAAAGGAAGAACGUUUGGGCAAAAUGUUAGUGUUCGGUACAAACAAUCAAGGACUGAAGGUAUUCCAAGAUCGGAUUUGGGUACCUAAGACGGGAGGAAUAAGAGAUCUUUUGAUAGAAGAAGCACACAAGACCACGUACUCGAUUCAUCCCGGUAACAUUGAAAUGUAUAGGGACCUAAAACCAUACUACUGGUGGCCGACGAUGAAACGCGAUGUUGCGAAGUAUGUGGCCGAGUGUGUGACAUGUGCGAGAGUUAAGGCACAACAUCAGAAACCGUAUGGGAGUUUAGAACCUUUACCUGUACCCAUGGGUAAAUGGGAAGACAUCACCAUGGAUUUUGUGACUAAACUACCCAGGACGAAGAACGGUCACGACAUGAUUUGGGUAGUCGUGGAUCGUUUCACCAAGAGUGCACACUUCAUAGCAGCCAACGAGAAGUGGUCUAUGGAUAAGCUCGCAAAUUCUUACGUGAAGGAAAUUGUAAGACUUCACGGUGUUCCUCUUAUGAUUGUAUCAGAUCGUGAUAGUCGUUUCACGUCAAGGUUAUGGAGAAGUCUACAGGAUGAGUUAGGUACGAAGUUGUGUUUGAGUACAGCUUACCAUCCGCAGAAUGAUGGAAAGAGCUAAAGAACGAUUCAGACACUGUAGGAUAUGCUGAGAGCAUGUAACCUCGAGUUCCAGGGGAACUGGGAUGAACACUUACCUCUGGUAGAAUUUUCCUACAACAAUAGUUUUCACUCGAGCAUCAAGAUGACGCAUUAUCAAGCUUUGUACGGACAGAAGUAUUGUACGCCGUCUUGUUGGCUUGAAGUCGGAGAGAUAGUCCAUGAGACUGCUGCGAAGUUGAAAGUGAUUAGGGAAAGGAUGUUAGCAGCUCAAAAUCGUCAAAAGAGCUAUGCUGACAAGAAAAGACGACUGAUGACCUUCGAAGUUGGGGAUUCGGUUUUGCUUAAAGUCUCACCGUAGAAGGGACUUAUACGAUUCGAGAAACGAGGAAAGCUGAGUCCAAGGUUUAUUGGAUCGUUUAAAGUUCUUUAGAUGAUUGGGAACCAAGCUUACAAGAUGGAAUUUCCCGAAGAACUCGAUGGUAUUCAUAACACCUUCCAUGUGUGUUAUCUAAGGAAAUUCACGGGAGAUGUUCCCGACAUAAUUCCAAUCUCAGAGUUAAGGAUGGAUGAGAACAAAAAGCUGAUCGAAGAGCCUGAGGCAAUUGUUGACCGUAAGACUAAGAAGUUACGACGCAAGAUGGUCGACUUAGUGCUAGUCCGAUGGAAACAUUCGAAUGGACCGAAUCUCACUUGGGAAACAGAGGAUGACAUGAUGAGUCGCUAUUCACAUCUGUUUGCUGAUGCAUGAUUCCGGGACGGAAUCAUCCUAAGGGAGAGAGAAUUGUAACGCCCGGGUUUCGAGGCUAAGAAUUUUUGACAAUGUAAUAGUCUAGGUCAACUAUUGUAACUCUUUUUGAAGUAAUAAAGACGAAAUAUUUGAGUAUUAUGUGAAUUAAGUGUAUUUAUGUGCUUAUUAUUUAAUUAUACAUGUAUAAUUUAAAAAGAAUAAAAAUAAGCGUCAAAAUUAAAGUGUGAGAUAAGCCCGAUAUCUUUAUAUAAAGUUGUAGUGGUCAAAACAAGGGUUCUGGGGAUAUAAAGAAUGCCGAAAUCCGAGUUAUAACGAAGAAGUUAUGACCCGUCGAAGUUUCGCGACGGAACUGACACGAUACCGGAAAGCGUAAAUAGUGAAUUUACGAUAGAGUGAGAUUUAGCCUUAGUGAUCUAAACAAAAGUCGUAGAAUACGUUAAACCGAGAGCGUCCAUAAAAAGAACGCCCAAAUCUGACUUCGUAUGAGGAAGUUAUGAUUUUUCGAAAUUUCGGAUUAGCAGUGUACAACCCGAAAUUUGAAUAUUAGAUCGAGCGGUUUUUAGCCGACACAACCUAAACGCGAAUCGAAGAUCUCGUUAUUUGUAGCAUAACGAGAAAAAGAUGGGCAAAAACGGACGUCGGAUGAAGAAGUUACGAGAAUUUAACGGACCAAUCAUGUCUCGGCCUGUUAAUAAUAUAACUUUUAAAAUAGAGUCAAAAUUAGCCAACGGAGUCUAAACAAAAGUUGUAGAGUACGUUCCCACCUUCGCGUGGAUAUAAAGACCGUCGAAAAUGGAGCUCAUAUGCGAUAGUUACAAAUUCUUAGAGAUUGCAUUCGAAUUUGCAAAGCCUGUUGCUCAAUCGAUGACGUGGCAAGAUCAUAGCCGUCGCUUGCGGCCCACGGUCUCGCUUCGGAUAAAGGACACGCCACCCCUUGCCUACUCCCCGUGUCCGAGGAAGAGUAUGCCCCGUGUACUUUGGUUCUUAUCCACUCCAAGAUCAGUCCACGUGCAAAGACAACUGGACGCCUCAUCCGAAGUUAUGCCCAGCGUAACCAUUUCCAAAUGCAGCGCGUAGCCAGCAGCCUCCGACCUAUAAAAGGGCUGCGAGGGCUGCCAUAAUUUCUCACAAAUUCACCAUAACUUUCUCUCUCUGCAUUCUAUCAUUACCCCCAAACCCUCCCUUAUGCCUAGGUGAUCCCCUAGCACCCUAAGGAAGCCCCGAGGCUCACGGAGUCCCGAGAAAAAGGGUCUUUCGGUUUCAGAAACGCUGCUCCGAGCAAAGCCCGGUUUUCUUUAAAAUAUGCUAUAAGUGAGCUACGCUUACGCAAUUUUUAAUAUAGCUUUCAAAUAAUUAUAGUAAUGUUAUUAGGUCCUUAAAAUAAUUAUUUGGGCUAUUAUUAUGAGUUAUAAUUGAGUGUUAUUUAACGCUUAUAUAAUAAUAAUAAUAGCUAGACUAUUAGUUAGUCGCGGUUGACGUUAGACUAAACCCUAGUGGUAUUGAUACUAGGUUUUAUCGAAGGAAAAUUGUUUCAAGAGUAUCGAAGCGUUAUCCGAGUGCUGAGUCACCACCUUUCAAGUGAGUGCAUUGUUACUUUCAGCUUACACAUAGAUAUGAAGUAUUUUAUAUAAAUUACGUGUUAUAUGUGCAUACUAUCUGAAUACUUGCUAUCUAUGCUAGAUGAACGUUUUUAUACAUGUUUUCAAUGAUUUAAAUUGUAUAUGUAUUUUAUAUCUACAAAAUGCGUUGGGUAAAACAUGGGUAUAUGUAAUAGUUGUUGUGUGACAAAAUAAAAUAAUGAGAGGCCUCGUUUUAGAUGUUAUUGAUGAUCCGGUCAUCUAGCGGAGUAUAGAUGACGACUAUGGACUAUUCUAGACAGUCCAGUGGAACACUAGCAGACUCGCAACCUGUAGGUGUUUAUUUGAACUGUGUGUUUAUUUGAACUGUGUGCUCACCAGGUGUACUCCAUCCCCCACAUGGUUUCCUUAAGGACAUUUAUUGCUGAGGAAUCCCCUUAGCGGUAGUGUCCAUCCCGAUGAUAGUCCUUAGACUAUCUCCCUUGUGUUAGAUGUCUUAGGGACGUAAAGUGAGGAUAACGGGAAUGGGUAAUAGGGUUUGUUUGGUUUGAUAAAGUUAAUAAACUUAUUUAUUGUGGGUUGAAAACCCUAUGUGCUCACCAGGCUCCCAAGCCUGACCCACUCAGUUUCUUGUAUUACAGGUAGUGGCGUAUGAGCAUAGAUGUGAUGUCUUGGGAUAAGAGAUUAAGGGAUUUUAGGCCUGUAAAUACAGAAUAAUGUAGUAAGGCCUAUGAUGUAUUGUUUAUGCUUAUGAUAUGUAUCGAACAUGACAUCCCGAAUCUUUUUAAUGAAAUACAUUUCUAUGGAAAUGCUUUUGAUAAAUCUUUAUCAUAUUUUGUUUUGGGACAAAUUCCGCAACACUUUUAAUUAAAAUGUUAUUCUGAUUAUUAAACAAAGCAUAAACAAAAUCGGUCUUUUCUGGCCAUGAAAAUCGGGAUUUCACAGUUGGUAUCAGAGCAUUAGUUUAAGCGAACUAGGAAUUUGUAGGAUUUCUAGACUUAAACUUAGAAUGCUAAGCGAUGAUUGUGAGGUGUGAGCACUAGCUUAUUUUAGGAAUUAUGCCUAAAAUGCUUUUAUGUGCUAAAUGCUUUGUGCAUGAUAUGCUGUUAUUUGUUCGGAUCUAUGGUCUGUUGCCGACCGGAUCUGGAAACCUUAUGUGUUUAGGAUUCUAAACGUACGACUACGAUAUUAGAACUAGCAUGUAAACGUUUCGGAGAGAUAAGGAUGAUUUGAACAUCAGUCCUAAAUAAAGAUCUAAAUUCACCUUAUUCGGUGUAUAGAUCAAGAUGGCAAGGACCCGUAGCGGAAACAUGAAUGCAAAUGGGAACAUAAACCAACCCCCAGUGAUUGAGCAAAUACUGGUUGUGGAACUAGAACGCGCCAUUUAGAUAAGUGAUCAUAUAAUCCUCUGUUCUAGAUAUCAGCCAGAAAAAUACAUGGAACAUGGUCUUACUUGUUGUCUAGCAUUUGUUUCUCGAUUUCCGAUUUGUUUGACAUAGAACUUAACUGAACACAUCAAUUUAGUUCUGACCGGGCCCGGUACAUAGGUCAAAACACAAUCAUCGAGGGGUCCAGAUAUCAGCUUCUAAUCGAAGAAGGAACAGAUAAACUUCGACUCAUAUGUUUGUUCUACCACUCAUUGAAUCAUACACAAAGGCACGUUUUAUAACAUCGAGUUACCAAUGCGUUUUCGUACAAUCAAUGCAUAACCAACUCGUAAGUAACAAAUCAUAUCUCUAGGUUUGAAGACUUAUAUGAUAUUACCGUCUCACGAUCACUCGAGAUAAAAUUCCAUGAAGUGAUUCCAGUGAGCGUGGGUUGAGUCCAAUGCUCAGAACUUAUGAGCACUCAUGAUUGUUGUAGCCUUGUCCAACACCUUAGACCUCUGCAACCAAUCAUGACAGUCUUGAUUCAUACCUACUUCCGACAUAUGACCGACUGUGGAGGUUUGAAUAAUAUGAUAUACCAAACAUAAUUAUUCUGGAAGUCAAAACAUGCAAAAGAAAUAUAGUAAACGAUUGACAAGAGAUAGCAACACUUUACUCAUAAAUAAAACACUUUUUAUUCAUCAUCUAAUGUCAAUUACACUUUACAAAUUUCAAGGUUAUCUAACUACUAAAACUUAUAUCAUCCUUCAGCCCUAUGCUCCGAGCAUGCUGGAGAUGCUUAACCCUACUCAGUCCCUUCGUGAGGGGAUCUGCUGGGUUCUCAUCCGAUGAUACCCUCUUUGCCACGAGGAGUCCUUCUUCGAUCCGAUGUCUGAUAAAAUGGUAUUUUCUGUCGAUGUGUCUGGAUCUCCCGUGAUCCCUUGGUUCCUUGGCUAAGGCAACAGCACUUUCACUAUCACAGAAAAUUUCCAUUGGCUCUUUAAUAGCUGGUACAACUCCAAGGUCUCCAAUGAAGUUCUUCAGCCAUAUCGCCUCCUUUGCUGCUUCACUAGCUGCAAUAUACUCUGAUUCACAAGUAGAAUCUGCCACUGUCUCUUGCUUGGAACUCUUCCAAGAAAUUGCUCCUCCGUUUAGGGUAAAGACCCAGCCCGACUGAGAGCGGAAAUUAUCCCUAUCAGUCUGGAAGCUAGCAUCACUAUACCCUACAACUCUCAAGUCAUCACUCCCACCGAGGGUAAGGACCCAGUCCUUAGUCCUCCGUAGGUACUUGAGGAUAUUCUUUACCGCAGUCCAGUGUGCCUUGCCAGGGUUCGCCUGAUACCUGCUAACCAUGCUCAAGGCAAAAGCUACAUCGGGUCGAGUACACGUCAUAGCAUACAUGAUCGAUCCUACAGCCGAAGCGUAAGGUGUUCGACUCAUUUCUGCUAUCUCAGCCUCAGUGCUAGGGCUUUGUGUCUUACUCAAUCUGGUGUUACUCUGGAUGGGUAACUCUCCUUUCUUGGAAUCCUGCAUGCUGAAUCUCUUCAGCACCUUAUCCAAGUAGGUACUCUGACUAAGUCCAAUUAGUCUUUUACUCCGAUCUCUCAAGAUUCUUAUCCCUAGAAUAUAGGCAGCUUCACCAAGGUCCUUCAUAGCGAAACACUUCCCAAGCCAGGACUUUACUUCCUGCAGGGUUGGAAUGUCGUUUCCUAUGAGUAGUAUGUCAUCCACAUACAAUACCAAAAAGCUAACUAUACUCCCACUAGCCUUGACAUACACACAAGAUUCAUCUUCACUCCUAGAAAAGCCAAAUUCCUUGACCUUUUCAUCAAAGCAAAGAUUCCAUCUGCGAGGUGCUUGCUUCAAUCCAUAAAUGGAUUUCUCAAGCUUACACACUCUAUUAGGGUACUCGUUGCUGACAAAACCCUCUGGCUGACUCAUGUAAACAUCUUCAGCCAACUUUCCAUUAAGGAAAGCGGUUUUGACAUCCAUCUGCCAUAUUUCAUAGUCAUGAAAUGCAGCUAUGGCUAACAGAACCCGAAUAGACUUAAUCUUGGCUACCGGAGAAAAGGUCUCAUCAUAAUCCACUCCAGGAAUUUGAGAGAAGCCCUUUGCAACCAGUCUAGCCUUAUAAGUGUGUACUUUACCAUCCAUGUCGGUCUUCUUCUUGAAGACCCAUUUGCACCCUACUGUCUUACGACCUGGUACAUUUUCAACCAAGUUCCAAACUUGAUUGUCAUACAUGGAUUGUAUCUCGCUAUCCAUAGCCUCUUUCCAUUUAGCAGACUCGGGGCCUGCCAUGGCUUCCUCGUAGCUGUUAGGGUCAUCUUGACUUACUAGUGUCUCAUCACUAAUAAGUGUCUCACCUUCUGCAGUAAUAUGGAAUCCAUAGUAAUGCUCAGGUGCACUCCUAACUCUCGUGGAACGUCUCAGAGGUACAGAUUUGUCAAUUGGCUCAACAGGAGUUUCCUCCUCAAGUUGAGGGCUAGAGUUUGAAGUUCCUUCACCGCUUGAUUCUUGAAUUUCUUCAAGAUCAAUUUGCCUCCCACUGUCUCCUUGGCUUAUAAACUCUCUUUCUCGAAAGACUCCUCUUCUUGCUACAAAGACCACAUUGUCACUAGGUCUGUAGAAGAGGUAACCAAAGGAUCGCUGUGGGUAACCGAUGAAAAUACACCUCUCGCUUCGAGGUUCGAGCUUAUCAUGAGUCUCGCGUCUCACGAAAGCCUCGCAACCCCAAAUCUUGAUGUGGUCUAGUUUAGGUACUUUACCAGUCCACAUCUCGUGAGGAGUUUUGGCAACUUUCUUUGUAGGGACUAGAUUAAGAAUAUGGGCGGCAGUCUCUAAGGCAUACCCCCAGAAUGAGAUUGGUAGCGUAGCUCGACUCAUCAUGGAACGAACCAUAUCUAACAAGGUUCGAUUACGCCUCUCAGCCACACCAUUCAACUGUGGUGUCCUGGGAGGUGUCAAUUGUGAGACUAUCCCACAUUCCCUUAGAUAGUCGAGGAACUCUGAACUAAGAUACUCACCACCACGAUCGGAUCGAAGCAUCUUAAUGUUCCUGCCCAAUUGAUUCUCGACUUCCUGUUUAAAUUCCUUAAACCUCUCGAAAGUCUCUGACUUAUGCUUGAUCAAGUAGACAUAUCCAUAUCUACUAUAAUCAUCAGUAAAAGUCAAAUAAUAACGAUUAGCAUCCCUUGUGGCAUGUUUGAAUGGUCCACACACAUCCGUGUGUAUAAGGUCCAACAAACCUUCACCCCUCUCACACGAACCUGUGAAGGGUGACUUUGUCAUUUUUCCAAGUAAGCAUGAUUCGCAACUAUCAUCUGACUUUAGGUCAAACGACUCCAAGACUCCAUCCUUUUGGAGUUGGCCUAUGCGUUUCUUGCUUAUAUGUCCAAGACGACAAUGCCAUAAAGAUGCUUUAUCCAAGUUAUUAUUAGUAGAAUCAAUACACAAAACAUUAUUUCCCAAGUUAUCUACAACAGAUACAGCUUCAUACACACCAUCACAAGGUAAUGCUUUAAAAUAAAAGACAUUAUUAUAGAAAACAUCUAUAGAACCAACUUCAUUAUUAAAUGAAAAGGUAAACCCUUGUUUGUACAAAGCAUGAAAGGAAAUAAUAUUUCUUGCCAUUCCUGGCGAAUAACAACACUUAUUCAAAUCUAAACUAAACCCACUACUUAGCGAUAAAGUAUAAACUCCAAUCUUGGUAACAGGUAUAGCUUUCCUAUUCCCCAUGAUCAAGUUUAUCCUUCCUUGCUCCACAUCCUCACUUCUUCUUAGUCCCUGCAAGUCACAACAAAUGUGAAUACCACACCCGGUAUCAAGGACCCAAGAAUUAGAAUGGGGUGAGUUAUUAGAAAUGAUAGUGUAAAUACCUGCAUGGUUGGGUUUAACUUUCCCAUCCUUCACAUCUUGCUGGUAUUUUGGGCAGUUCCGCUUCCAAUGAGCUUUUUCAUGGCAAUAGAAGCAUUCAGCCUCUUUUGGGUCAGAAGAAGGAGUAACGAAACCUUUCUUGGUUCCACUUGAAGAAGAGCCAUCAAGGGUCCGAGCCUUGGUACCCUUAGAAGAGCUCUUUCUCUUCCUCCCUCGACUUUUCCCGAUUGCCAAAACCGGAGUAGAGUUUUGAGUAGGAGUGAUAGCAACCGACUUCCCCUUAAGACCUGUUUCUGCGGUCUUGAGAAGUCCCUGAAGUUUGCUGAGGGUGACUUCUUCCUUGUUCAUGUGAUAUGUCAUGCGGAAUUGAUCAUAGCACGAUGGUAAGGAAUGCAAAAUAAUAUCUAUUGCAAGAUCCUCCGGGAAGUUCACAUUAAGCUUCAGCAAACGAUCCACAUACCUUUGCAUUUUCUGCAUGUGGCUCGUGACGGAUUCCCCGUCCUUCAUCAUGGUUGUUAUCAUGGAGCAGAUGAUUUCAUACCUCUCUUGUCUUGCACUUUGAUGGUAUCUUUCCAUCAAAUCUUGGUGCAUGUCAUAAGGGUAGAAAUCCUCAUAAGACUUUUGGAGUUCCGCUGUCAUCGUGGCCAUCAUGAUGCAAGCCACUUUCGUAGCAUCCCUUUCAUGUGCCCGAAAUUCAGCGAUCUCCUGAGGAGUUGCAGUGGACUCAUCAAUCUCCUUAAGCUCCUUGUCAAGGACAUAUUCUUUGUCCUCGUAGCGGGUAAUCAUCCUGAUGUUUCUGAUCCACUCAUUGAAGUUGGAUCCAUCAAAGGUGACUUUCCCACACAAGUUCAUAAGGGUAAAGGAGCCAUUAGGAUUAGAGCCAGAAGCAUUGUUGAAAGACAUCUGAAGGAAAGAGGACAAGAUUAGUUUAGAUAUAAGAGAGUCCUUAAUAAAACACCCAAAUGUAAUAUUAAGGCUAGGAUCCAAUCACAAUAUAAUAUAACUUAGAAGAGGUAUGCCGUAAUCUAAGCUAUAUCAUAUUUGAAAGGUAGGUGAAUGACGAUUCACCAAUUUCCACCACGAAAACCGCAAUAUUUUAGUAUUAGGUUUUUGAAUGGUUCUUAGAAAUUCCUAGAUUCUUUGAGAUUCAAUGAACUUUUCAAAGGCAUGUUUCAAUCUCGAGUGUGCCCUCCAAGUUUUGUGACUGGGAUACCGAGGAUCACAAAACGAGGUGUGAAGUAACCAUGCAAAUCACUUGGUACCCUUAAAGUUUAUCACUCAAUCGAUGUGCCGGUUAACCACACACGCUCCAUCGAUACUAUAAUAAACCCUAAGUCACCCUUUACCUACCUUGUUAAGUCCAAGUUAGUGUGCCGGUUAACCACACACGCUCCACCAACGACUUAAUCAAAGUGUAAAGUGUAAUUUCAUGGAAUAGCACCUUAUUCACAUUUUUCCUAAAGUAACUAAGAUUGGGAAUUUAAUAAAACAUUUAGUUACUUUAUAAUAUUCAUCAUACUUUGAAUGAGAAUUAAUAAGUCCUUGUCUUACCCGUUCGGCUAACGACCCUCCACCGAUCAAGCAAGCGGUGGGUGAGAGUGGACACCCAUUAAGUCACCAUUUUAUAGGCAACAACCUUAUACCCACCUUAUAGACCGGCUUCGUGAAUGAGGCGUACUAGCGGUAAGACGACUUUGUUCUUAUACAUAUAUAUAUAAUUAUUAAAUCAUAAUAAUAUAAGUAUAAGGGUUGAAUUUUAACUUUUAAAAUUCUAAGGGAUGGAACUAAAGUUUUAAUAUGACUUUACAUUUUCCAAAAACUUGUGGGCAAGCUCUGUAAACUUUCAAAAAAUUUUCAUUUCUUGUAACUUAUGAGUUUAAUAGAGUAAUAAAAUGAAGACUUUUCAUUUUUCUAAGUCUUGUGUUCUUUUAAUGGUUUUUUAAUCCAAGAGACUUUUGGUUUUCCAUAACUUGAGGACAAGUUAUGGACUCCAUUAAAACACAUUAUGAUCAUGAAUUAAUCUACCACAUAGGUUACAAAUAAUUCCUAUGAUCAUCUAAACAUCAUAAGAACAAGAAUAUGAAUAUGAACACUUUCAAGAAUCAAAAUCACAUUUAAUCUUUGUAAUUUUGAUAACUAGUUGUUGUAAAUGAGUUAGAAAAGACAUUACACCUUCUAAAAUAAGUUUUCAAGUACCAAAACAUUUUAGGGUAAUGAUUCUAAUCCAUUUCCAGCAACUCAAGUCGAAAUUCUGCACUCUGUCGACCCUACUCGCCGAGUGCAUAAACCUACUCGCCGAGUAGGUUGAAGAUACACAUGAACUCGACGAGUCCUCCCCAUGGACUCGCCGAGUCCAUCAGUCAGACAGCAAAAUUUUCGACUUUCUUCAACUUUUAAGCACAAAUAACAAACAAACAAGCCUAGGCUCUGAUACCACUGAUGGGUUUUGAGCAUUCUAACACUUCCUAAGUGUACAUGCAACCCUAAUAACCUUGGAUCUAUGUUUGUCUAANUGUAGUUGAUUCCUUGGAGUUUUAGAGCCUAGCACCAAUAGUGUGGAUGCCUCAAAUGGAAAUCACAAAUCACCACAAACUUGGAACUUUGAGAGAAUAGUCACUACUAUCUUGAAAUCGGCCCUCACCUCAACAAGUGUCAACUAGUAUGAUUUCAAGAACCAAAGCCUCCUUUAUAUAGUGUGAUGGAUUAGGGUUACAUCCAUGUAAACCCUAAUACCCAUGUCUCUUCAUUUCCAUGAGAUCCAUGGGUUAAAGCUCCAUGGAGUAUCCAUGGACUUUUCCAUGCAAGCCUAGCCCAUUCCAAAUAAGCAUUAGCCCACACUAUAUAAAUAUAGAAGCCCAUAUUUAAUUAGUAAUAUCUUUGAUCUCUAAAUUAAUCCUAGAUUAAUUAUAGAUCAAUACUAAUUAAAUAAUAUGAUCUUAUAUUAAUAUAUUAGAACUUAUAAUAUAUUAAUAAAUCAUAACCUGUACUAUUCUCAAAUAUUAUCCAUAAAUUGUUCGGGUGAAGUGCAACCCAAAUGGACCAUGCCGGGUCGGGUCAAGUACAUACCAAAUAUAGUUAUGGACUUAGACACUAUAUCCAACAGUUUAUUUGAACUGUGUGCUCACCAGGUGUACUCCAUCCCCCACAUGGUUGCCUUAAGGACAUUUAUUGCUGAGGAAUCCCCUUAGCGGUAGUGUCCAUCCCGUCCCUUGUGUUGGAUGUCUUAGGGAUGUAAAGUGAGGAUAACGGGAAUGGGUAAUCGAGUUUGUUUGAUUUGAUAAAGUUAAUAAACUUAUUUAUUGUGGGUUGAAAACCCUAUGUGCUCACCAGGCUCCCAAGCCUGACCCACUCAGUUUCUUAUAUUACAGGUAGUGGCACAUGAGCAUAAAUGUGAUGUCUUGGGAUGAGAGAUUAAGGGAUUUUAGGCCUGUAAAUACAGAAUAAUGUAGUAAGGCCUAUGAGGUAUUGUUUAUGCUUAUGAUCUGUAUCGACCAUGACAUCCCAGUCUUUUUAAUGAAAUACAUUUCUAUGGAAAUGCUUUUGAUAAAUCUUUAUCAUAUUUUGUUUUGGGACAAAUUCCGCAGCACUUUUAAUUAAAAUGUUACUCUGAUUUUUAAACAAAGCAUAAACAAAAUCGGUCUUUUCUGGCCAUGAAAAUGGGGAUGUCACAAGCACGAAGUUUCCUACGAUCAUAGGAGGGCCAAAAAAAUCUUUGUUUUCUUGAUGUUCAACUCAAGACCCACGCUUGGACCAUUCAAACGAAUAAUGUUCUACACUCUAGCCACUUCCUCUGAAUCCCCAAUGACAGUCACAUCAUGUAUAUACCAAACAUGGAGAAAAAGCUUACAAUUAUCUCUAAUCUUUUGCACAAGUGGGUGCAAAAUAAGGGCAAACAAAAGAGGGUCCAAGGGGUCGCCUUGCUGCAACCCAGUGUCAGACAAAAUAUGUUGGUCUCCGAUAUAGAUUCUUGUUGCUUGCUCAUACAAGAAAUUCACCCACAAAGAAAUAGAAGUGCACAUCCUCUUAACCUCGUGGAGCAAUGCUGAUCUAUCCAUCAGGUUAAAGGCAUUCGAGAAAUCCAUUGUCAGCAUUACAAGAAACCCAUCAGUAUGGUGUUUACUCAACACCCUAUUGACACUGUGUAACAUAGCCUCAGCACCCCCGGACACACCAACCUCAAACUAAAAAUCAUUAAGGUACUUGAUCAUUUCUUUACCCACACCUUUCAUAGCAACCUUGGAAACCAGACGUCUUCAUAUAGUGCCUACUGCAAUCGGACGGAUCCCGUUGUCAGGUUUAAGUAGAGUCGUUAGAGGUGAUUUCGAGUUAAGACAGACACAAAAAGGAUGAAGUAGAAAAAGCUCCACAAUCUUUAAUGCUAUAUAUUUGGUAAAACACAAUAACACUGGUGACUUUCUUUAAUUUGCUAAAAAAAAUGGGAAGUUGUGAAAGUUACAACAUAUUAACACAUUAAACAUGGGUUGUCGAAGUGUUAAAGGAAAAGUUGAAUAUUAUGGAACCAUUAUCAAGGGUAGAGAAGGGGGUGCAACAUUCAUAAUUUAAUUGGUUUAGUACAUUACAUUUAAUCGGAUAAUAUGUAUAAAUUUGGACUUUGAACUACAACCAAGGCUCUUACAAGGAUUUUCCUUUUAGGAAUUUAUUGGGAUUCCGUACAUUAGCAUGGUGUUAUGAUAUUUAAAAAAAAAAAAAUUAAAGUUCGUUAGAAUUUUGCUCCAUGUGAGUUUGGUAGUCGGUGUCUAAUCACGACCAACGUAUAGAAAACUAAGUGACAUGCACAAGUGAACACGGGCACACAUAUGUUAAUUUUGAAAAUAAUUCAACGGUAUAAUUAAAAUCAAGAAAUUACGAAACACAAAUAACACAAAUAUUUAUAUAUGAAAUACUUUUUUUUUUUGGCAUAAAACAACAUAUUUUACUUAUUUAUAUUUAUAAAAAAUUUACAUACAUAUUAAAACAUUACAUUAUUUAAAAAAAAUAAUAAUAAACAAAUCAAUAUUUUUCUUUUCUUCUUCAAAACAUCCUAAAACCUCUUAUAUAGACUCAAUAAGAACAUUGUCAUUUAUAACGUCCCAAAUUACAAAGGAGAUUUUUCAUUUAAAAUAAGUUAAUUGUUUGUGAUUUUAAGGUCACCAUGACAUUUUGUGUAAUUAGAACUACAUGUGAGCUAAGGGGUUUAUCGUUUGUACUAUAUAUUAUAUAUUUUGGUGAAUGCGGAGUGCAUGCAUAUAUAAGAUCGAAUUAUAAGUUGGUACGAUAAAAACGCAGGUUUGGGGGCAGCGCUCCAAGAAGGUCUUCAGAAAUUUGAAUUAAUUACAUUAUGGAAAAACCGAAUUCUAAUGGAAUUUUGUCGUAAAUUUGAUAAAUUUUAUCAAUUUUGGUAAACAUUGAUUAUGACAUUAAAUUCGUGAUUCUCCUAACUAAUUUAGAAGAUGGGUAAUUAUGGUAAAUUAACAAAUCUCAUCAAUUUUGAUAACCAUUGAUUUCCUCAUUAAUUUUGGAUUUGUUUCCACAUUAAUUUGGAUUCUCUUGAUUUGUUUCCACAUUAAUUUGGAUUCCAUUGAUUUGUUUCCUUAUUAUUUUGGAUACCCUUGAUUUGUUUCCAAAGAAACCGAUGACGGCCAACCCUAUAUCGAAACCCUACAUUUCGUUUACUAUAUAAACGACUCUUCUCUUUGAAGGGGAUAACUCUUUUAGCUCUUGUUUCUUCAUACAAACUCAGAAUCUUCUAACAAUUUGGCUAACAUUUUUUGUGCCUAGAUUCGUAAGUGUCAUCUUGGGAUUAUCCUAGGUUGAGUUUCUUGUAACCCGGGCAUAGGGUAGAAAUAUCAAUACGGAAAGUGUUUACAUGAUCCAAGGGAUAUCCAGAUCUCCACCAUAACCCUACCCCAUUUCUAACAAUCUAACUAAUAUCUUAUGUUUCUGGAGAUGGGUGAAUCAAUCCGUGAGAUGACCAUGAAGUUCGCAAAACUGGAGAAGUUUGAAGGCAUUGAUUUUAGACGCUGGAAGAAGAAUAUGCACUUCAUGUUGAUCACUCUGAAGGCAACAUACGUGCUUACUACUCGAAAACCAUCUGAACCAGAGGAAAUUGUUGAUGAGACACUUGAACAUACUAGGAAGAGGCAAAAGUGGAACAAUGACGAUUACAUCCGCAAAGGUCACGUCUUAAACGGUAUGCUUGAUGCUUUAUUUGAUAUCCAUGGUGAUGCUUUAACUGCUAAGGACUUGUGGUACACCCUUGAAUUAAAAUACAUCACAAAGGACACUUCUAGCAAGAAGUUUCUAGUUAGUGACUUUAAUAACUUUAAUAUGGUUGAUUCAAGGUCUGCUACCGAACAAUACAAUUAGCUCCUUGAUAUUUAUGGUCAAUUUAAACCGCACAAUAUGAAUAUGGAUGAUUCCAUUGUUGUGUCAAGUGUAAUUGACAAACUUCCACCAUCUUUGAAGGAUUUCAAACAUAACCUAAAACAUCAAAAGGAGGAACUAUCAUUGGUUCAACUUGCUAGUCAUAUUCUUAUUGAAGAAUCUCAUCAUACGAAGGAAGUUGACAAAUCUGAUAAUACCAAAGGGAAAGUUGAAUCAGGAAAACCCUAUGUUCAUAUAGUUGAAAAUAAAGCUAGAAUCCUGAACCAUAAAGGACAUGGCAAACGUAAAAAGGAACAUGUCCCAAAUAACUCCAACAAAAAGAAAAAGGAACUCGUUUGUUGGAGGUGCAACAGGGUGGGGCAUUACAAGCGUGAUUGUCGUGUGAACUUAGGCAACAAUAAUAACAAUAAUGGUGUUGGAAACAGUGGAGCCAAUGGAAGUGUGAACGGGUCUUCGGGUCAAGUUAAAGGAGGUUAGUUUUUGACUAAAUUUGAUAAUUCUAAUCAGAAUUAUGUUUAUUAUGUUUCACUAAUUCCUGAAUCAUUCUAUGUACAGGAUGAUGAUGUGGCUUAGUGUAUUGACUUUAGGGCAACGAACCAUGUAUGCAAGGAUAAACGGUUGUUUGAAACAUUAACACCGCUUGAAGAUGGAUCAGUGCUGAGAAUGGCAUACGAUUCUUUUUUACCAAUUUAUGGUGUCGGUGUUUUGAGUCUUGAAUUUACUUUUGGAAAGACUAUUAGGCUUUUUGAUGUUUUGUUUGUUCCUAAGAUUCGAAAGAAUCUUGUUACUUCUAGUUGUUUGAAUUUUAUGGUUUUAAACAAGUUAUUGAUUCGAAGAAGUUCAUCUGAUCUCGAGGUGGAAUGUUUAUUGGUUUUGGAUAUUUAUAUAAAACAGAAUGUUUCGUUUGAGUAUUAUUGACAAAUUAUUACUUGUUUAAAAUUCUGCAUUUGCAUCUUCUGCUUCUAAUGUUGAUAAAUCUAUGCUUAGACAUGUAAGAUUAGGUCAUGUCAACAUUAGAAGGAUGCAUGAGAUGUCAAAAGAUGGGUUAAUUCUAGCCUUUGACAUGACUUUUGAUAAAUGUAAACCAUGUAUGCAUACAAAACUGACAAAACAACUCUUUUCUAGUGUUACUAGGCUUUCAGCUAUUUUGGAACUUGUACAAAGUGACCUGUGUGAUUUUGACUCCACUCCUUCCUUGGGAAAUAAAAAGUACGUAGUAACCUUCAUUGAUGACUACACUCGGUUUUGCUACGUGUAUUUGUUACAUUCUAAGGAUGAAGCCUUAGAUAAAUUCAAAAUAUACAAAACCGAGGUGGAAUUGCAAUUGGGGAAUCCGGUUAAGUGUCUUAGGAUUGAUAGGGGAGGUAAAUAUAUCAAUACCAUAUACUUCCAAUUAGUGGGUAUCAUUCAUGAGACCACGACACUCUACUCGCCCCAACAAAAUGGAAUUGUUGAACAUAAAAAUCGAGUUUUAAAGGAAAUGGUAAACUCGAUGUCGUCAUACUCGGGAUUGAGUAAUGGAUUCUGGGGAGAGACCAUGUUAACGACCUACUAUUUAUUAAACAAGGUUACAAGUAAAAAGAAAAAAAUUUGUCUCAUAUUGUAACACCCGGGUUUCAGGGCUAAGCAUAUUUGUCAAUGUAAUAGUCUAGUUCAACUAUUGUAACUCUUUUUGAAGUAAUAAAGAUGAAAUAUUUGAGUAUUAUGUGAAUUAUGUGUGUUUGUGUGUUUAUUAUUUAAUUAUAAGUGUAUAAUUAAUAAAUAAUAAAAAUAAGCGUCAAAAUUAAAGUGUGAGAUAAGCCCGAUAUCUCUACAUAAAGUUGUAGAAUAUGUCUCAAGGUUUCCGUGCAUAUAAGGAACGCCGAAAUCCGAGUUAUAACGAAGAAAUUAUGACCCGUCGAAGUUUUACGGCAAAACCGGCACAACACCGGGAAGCGAAAUACUGAAUUUACGAUAGAGUGAGGUUUAGCCUUAGCAAUCUAAACGAAAGUUGUAGAAUAUGUUAAACUAAGAACGUCGAUAAAAAUAACGCCCAAAUCUGACUUCGUAUGAGGAAGUUAUGAUUUUUCUAAGAUUCGGCUUAGCAGUGCACGGCCCGAAACUCGAAUUUUUGUUUGAGCGGUUUUUGGCUUACGCGACCUAAAUGAGAGUUGAAUAUCUCAUUAAUAGGAACUCAACGGUAAAAAGAUGGACGAAAACAGAGUUCGUAUGAAGGAGUUACGAAUUCUUCGCGGUCAUUUAACAGUCUAAACGCCUCUUACUGUUAAAUUUGAGAUCGGUCGAGAAUUAGCCGACGGAGUCUAAAUGAAAGUUGUAGAUCUUGUUUUUACCUACGCGUGGAAAAAAAGAACGUCGAAAACGGAGCUCGUAUGCGAAAGUUACGGGGUUUAGAAGUUGGCAGAGUGCUGCUGCAAAAGGGGUGACGUGGCUGAAUAUGGGCCAAGGCUUUCUCCCCAAGGAAAGCCAUCAGAUGAUGACACGUGGCACUGACUCGGCGAGUCAGUGAACCGACUCGGCGAGUCCGUCAGGAUUUCACCCUAUAAAUAGAAGUGCCGGGUUCUCUCAUUUCUCACACCUUUCCCCACUUCUUUCUCUCUCUACACUCUCUCUCUAAGCCUCCUUAAGCCCCCUAAAGCCUAGGUAAACCCCCUAGCACCCGAAGGAAGCCCCGAGGCUCCCGGAGUCCCGAGAAAAGAGCCUUUCGGCUCGGGAACGCUGCUCCAGCGAAGCCCGGUUUUCGAGAAAACUCGCUGUAAGUGAGCUACGCCUAACCUAUCUUUAGUUUAGCUUACGUUUUAAUAUAGUAAUGUUAUUAGGACCUUAUAAUAAGUACUUGGGCUAUUAUUAUGGGUUAUAUAAGUAUCGUUUAACGCUUAUAUAAUAAUAAUAAUAGCUAGACUAUUAAUUAAUCGCGGUUAUCGUUAGACUAAACCCUAGUGGUGUUGGUACUAGGUUUUAUCGAAGGAAUAUCGUUUUGAGAGUAUCGAAGCGCUGUCCGAGUGCUGAGUCACCACCUUUCAGGUGAGUGCAUAGUUACUUUCAGCUUACACAUAGAUAUGAAGUAUUUUAUAUAUUACGUGCUAUGUGUGCAUAUUAUCUGAUUACUUGCUAUCUAUGCUGGAUGAACGUUGUUAUACAUGUUUUCAAUGAUUUAAACUGUAUAUGUAUUUUAUAUCUACGAAAAUGUUGGGGUAAAACAUGGGUAGAUGUAAUAGGUGAUGUGUGAUAAAAUGAUGAGAGGCCUCGAUGUUGAUGUUGUUGUUUCUGUCAUCUAGCGGAGUAUGGAUGACGACCACGGACUCUUCUAGACAGUCCAGUGGAACACUAGCAGGCUCGCAACCUGUAGGUGUUUGUGAACGAUGUGUUCACCGGUGUACUCCAUCCCCCACAUGGUUGCCUUUAGGACAUUUAUUGCUGAGGAAUCCCCUUAGCAGUAGUGUCCGUCCCGAUGAUGAUCCUUAGGCUAGGUCCCUUAUGAUAGGUGUUUAGGGACGUAAAGUGAGGAUAACGGGAACGGGUAAUCGGGUUAUUGUUGAUCGAUGAAAUUAAUAAACUUAUUUAUUGUGGGUUGAAAACCCUAUGUGCUCACCAGGCUCCCAAGCCUGACCCACUCAGUUUUAUGUAUUACAGGUAGUGGCGCAUGAGCAUAGGUGUGAUGUUUUGGACGAGGGAUUACGGAUAUAGGCCUGUAGAUAUGAAAUAAUGUAGUAAGGCUUAUAUUGUACUGUUUAUGCUUUUGAUCUGUACGAACAUGACAUCCCGAGUCUUUUAAUGAAAUACAUUUCUAUGGAAAUGCUUUUGAUAAAUCUUUAUCAUAUUUUUGUUUUGGGACAAAUUCCGCAACACUUUCAUUUAAAAUGUAACUCUGAUUUUUAAACAAAGCAUAAACAAACCGGUCUUUUCUGGCCGUGAUUUUGGGGAUGUCACAGUUGGUAUCAGAGCAUUAGUUUAAGCGAACUAGGAAUUUGUAGGAUUUCUAGACUUAAACUUAGAAUGCUAAGCGAUGAUUGUGAGGUGUGAGCACUAGCUUAUUUUAGGAAUUGUGCCUAAAAUGCUUUUAUGUGCUAAAUGCUUUGUGCAUAAUAUGCUGUUAAUUGUUCGGAUCUAUGGUCUGUUGCCGACCGGAUCUGGAAACCUUAUGUGUUUAGGAUUCUAAACGUACGACUACGAUAUUAGAACUAGCAUGUAAACGUUUCGGAGUGAUAAGGACGAUUUAAAACGUCUAUCCUAAAUAAAGAUCUAAAUUCACCUUAUUCGGUGUAUAGAUCAAGAUGGCAAGGACCCGUAGCGGAAACGUGAACGCAAAUGGAGGUAGGAACCAACCCCCAGUGGUUCAGCAAAUACCUGUUGUUGAAGAAGUUGCACCUGAGCCAGUCACCAUGGCUGGAGUUCAAGCCAUGAUUCAGGCUAUGCUAGCUGAACAAAGGGAAGAAAUGAGACGGAUGCUCCACGAAAAUAGGGACGAACCUACCAUACAUGUUGAACCGACGGAGCCAGUUCCCGAGCCAUCUGAGGAAGGGAACUAUAGCCGCCAAGUGAGUCAAGUAGGGACUCAAGGUGAGCAAAAGGAUGGCCCAGAAGGGAGAAACAACAAGGAUGGGCGGAUGUACAAAAAUUUCUUGGGUGCGAAACCACCAAGUCUCUCAGGAAGCCCAAAGCCUGUUGAGAUUAUGGACUGGAUCUCCGAGAUGGAGAUGGUGUUUGAGAGCUGCGACUGCAGCGAGAAGCAGAAGACUGUCUUCGCUGUGAGACAAUUGAAAACUGGAGUCUUGAGCUGGUGGAAGCUAUUGGCAGAUACAAUGCCACGGGGAGAAGCUCUGAAAAUGUCAUGGGAUGAGUUCUUGGAACAACUGAAGGCGCAGUACUGUUCAGAGAUAGACCUGAUUGAUCUGAACAAUGAGUUCCAAAAUUUGAAGAAGGGGAGAAUGAGCAUCGAUGACUAUGCUGCUGCAUUUACGGAAAAGAUGAAGUUGUUUCCAUACCUAGUGCCAACCGAACUUUCCAAAAUUGAGAAAUUCGCAAACGGACUGCCGGCUGACUUUGGCCCAACAGUCAAGAUGGCAACCACUCUGAAAUCAGCUGUUCGAGCAGCUAAGAACGUGGAGACCCAACAAAAGGAAAGAGGUCUGGAGAGGGCUGAGGUUGGUGAGAAACGGAAGUUCAAUGGAUCCUCGAAGUCCAACAAGAAGAGUAGAUUCUCGAAGUCUGGUUCGAGGGGAGGAGGAUCAGAAGCGAAGUGGUGUGACAAGUGCAAGAAGAAGCACUCUGGGAAGUGUGACGGAGGGGUCACUUGUUACAAGUGCGGAAAGCCUGGGCACUACGCCAAUGAAUGCACCCUCAACCAGAAAGCCUGUUAUGGGUGCAAUGAAGAAGGGCACAUUUUGAAGGACUGCCCGAAGAAGAAGGAGACAGGAAGACCCAACAUACCACCGAAGCCGAAGGCGAGAGCCUUCCAGAUGACGCUCGAGGCUGCAAAGGAGGCAGCAGACGUCGCUUCAGGUACCUUUCUUGUAAAUGGUUUGCCUGCAAAUAUACUAUUUGAUUCCGGAGCCAACUACUCCUUUGUGUCGCAUAAAUUUGGUGGGAAAUUAGCAUUGCCUGUAGAAAAACUAGAUAAUGCCCUGAUUGUAGAAGUUGCCAGUGGCAAAUUCGUACCUGUUAGUAAUCGUAUUAGGAACAUCGUCAUUGACCUAAACGGAAACGAAUUCCACGAAGAGCUAUUACCCAUAGAGUUAAACGGUUUCGACAUCGUUUUGGGUAUGGAUUGGCUUAGCGCCAACGAUGCUGAGAUUCAAUGCCGAAAGAAGAUAGUAAAGGUAAACCCACCCGGAAAAGAAUCAUUUAUGGUGUAUGGGGACAAACGCAGAGUGAAUUCUGGAAUCAUCUCCCUGAUGAAAGCCAGGAAAUGUUUGUCCAAAGGAUGUGCAUCAUACUUGGCAUUCGUAAUCGAUGCCAAGAAGGAGAAGAAAGAGGUGCAGAAUAUACCGGUUGUGUGUGAUUAUCCGGAAGUCUUUCCCGAAGAUCUUCCCGGAUUACCACCUGAUAGGCAAGUGGAGUUUCGUAUAGACUUGUUACCAGGAACAACACCGAUAGCAAAGGCACCUUACCGAUUAGCACCGACGGAGAUGAAGGAGCUCAUGACGCAACUUCAGGAGCUGUUGGACAACGGUUU